GACAACCCUUUCACUGAGGUAAUUUUUCCUAAUAUCCAGUUUUACAUUCCCCAGCAGAGCUUGUCGCCAUUUUCUCUUGUCUCCUGAUAUGUAUCAUUCCAGUAUCUAGUGUUUACUUGGAAGUUGAGGAAAAUUUUUACCCAGAGUUCUCUGUUAGAUUUCAGGUUUUAUUGCUGAGCUCACAUUUGCUCAAUAUAAACUCUAAAAUAUGUCUGUGUCCAGUUAUCCAGAGGUGAAACUUGAUAGGUACCAAGCAGGAGUUAAUACCUUCAUAGGUUUGCAUAUGACUAUAGAGUGAACCUGACUGUAGUGACUAUUGAAAUGUGUAAUAGUCAUGCAGUAAGGGCAUAUGAGUAUAUAAAUCUGUAUGGCUAAGAACAGGAUAAGAGUAGGUUGGAUAAGAAGUGGCUGUUAACUCAUCUCUUAAAUAGUAUAUGCAGGUAUGUGAUUAUUUUUUACCUAAUAUAUUUCUUCUCUUUCUCUGUACAGUCUUAGUAAACAGCUGGCAGAAUAUGCAGACUGGGAAAACACAGGAGAAGCUUCUACAGGUGAUAGCGCACGAGGCAUCACAGCACUUGGCACUCCACACUGGGCAGCAGCUGCUGGCUUUACAUUGGGUGCACCUGCUGUGGACAGAGGAGGUAAGACCCUUCACCNAUUUUUUACCUAAUAUAUUUCUUCUCUUUCUCUGUACAGUCUUAGUAAACAGCUGGCAGAAUAUGCAGACUGGGAAAACACAGGAGAAGCUUCUACAGGUGAUAGCGCACGAGGCAUCACAGCACUUGGCACUCCACACUGGGCAGCAGCUGCUGGCUUUACAUUGGGUGCACCUGCUGUGGACAGAGGAGGAAUGCAACAAUCUCCUAACCAGACAUCAAGAACAGGAAAAUCAAGGGAAGGUAUUUUAUACAGUAGCAUUUAAAAUAUGAAACAUGUUGUACAGUAUACAUAUAUCAACACAUCUAUGAUGUUUAUUAUCCCAGAGGUCCCUAUUUUGAUGGUACUGGUUCUAGGAACUACAUUAGAGGACAGGCUUUGUGUGGUUUUUGUUUGUUUGCAUGUUUUGCCUUGGUUCUUUAUGAUUGAAUUUAGUGUUUGCUUUGUGUCAUUGGUGAUAGUAAAUAAUUUUUUAAACAGGCCCUUCCGUUACUCUGAAAUGGAAAUGGGCUUGAAUUAAAGUAGAAGCAAGCAAUCCCCAGAGACUGCUUUUCUAGAUUCCAUUUCUACUGUAAUCAGAGUUCUAUGUGAAGGGUAGCUCAUAAACCUUCUCUCUUGCUUUCUAAAGAACGAUGUGACCUGGUCUUGAUCAUUGCUUAAAGUAACUAUUCACAGAUGACCAAAUAUUCGGAGUUAGAAGGGACCCACAAAGAUCAUCAGGUCCGGUUCUUAAGUUAAUGGUCCAUACAGGGAUUGAACCCACAAACUUGGUAUUAUUAGCGCCGUGCUCUACCCAACUGACCUCAUCUAUUCAUUGGAAUCAAAAUUUCAGAAAACUUACUCAGCUCUUUUGAUUACUUAUAACUGUACUAAUUGAAAGUAUAACUGAAGUCACCCAUCAGGAGUGAUAACUGACUGCUCCACACUGGUGGAGAAAUUUUUAUUGGUCUUGGGACAUCAGCAGGUGGGUUAGACUGCUGGUACUGAGUGAGUUUACAGGAAGCUGUGGUAUGUACAACUAACUAAUAUU
ensembl:lncRNA